rnacentral:rRNA from 1 species
GAUGAACGCUGGCGGUAUGCUUAACACAUGCAAGUCGAACGGACUCUUCGGAGUUAGUGGCGGACGGGUGAGUAACGCGUGAGAAUCUGGCUUUGGGUUCGGGACAACCACUGGAAACGGUGGCUAAUACCGGAUGUGCCGAGAGGUAAAAGAGAAAUUGCCUGAAGAUGAGCUCGCGUCUGAUUAGCUAGUUGGUGAGGUAAAGGCUCACCAAGGCAGCGAUCAGUAGCUGGUCUGAGAGGAUGACCAGCCACACUGGGACUGAGACACGGCCCAGACUCCUACGGGAGGCAGCAGUGGGGAAUUUUCCGCAAUGGGCGAAAGCCUGACGGAGCAAUACCGCGUGAGGGAAGAAGGCUCUUGGGUUGUAAACCUCUUUUCUUUGGGAAGAACAAAAUGACGGUACCUAAGGAAUCAGCAUCGGCUAACUCCGU